rnacentral:rRNA from 1 species
GAUGAACGCUAGCGGCAGGCUUAAUACAUGCAAGUCGAGGGGCAGCAGGGGUGUAGCAAUACACUCGCUGGCGACCGGCAAACGGGUGCGGAACACGUACGCAACCUACCCAAAACUGGGGGAUAGCCCGGGGAAACCCGGAUUAAUACCUCGUAACCUUGCGGUGUGGCAUCACACUGCAAGUAUAGCUCCGGCGGUUUUGGAUGGGCGUGCGCCUGAUUAGGUAGUUGGUGUAGGUAACGGCUCACCAAGCCUUCGAUCAGUAACUGGGGGGAGAGCACGACCAGUCACACGGGCACUGAGACACGGGCCCGACUCCUACGGGAGGCAGCAGUAAGGAAUAUUGGUCAAUGGACGCAAGUCUGAACCAGCCAUGCCGCGUGAAGGAUGAAGGUCCUCUGGAUUGUAAACUUCUUUUAUCUGGGACGAAACCCGGGCAUUCUUGCCCGAUUGACGGUACCAGAGGAAUAAGCACCGGCUAACUCCGUGCCAGCAGCCGCCGUAACAC